rnacentral:rRNA from 1 species
UACGUAGGUGGCAAGCGUUAUCCGGAAUUAUUGGGCGUAAAGCGCGCGUAGGCGGUUUUUUAAGUCUGAUGUGAAAGCCCACGGCUCAACCGUGGAGGGUCAUUGGAAACUGGAAAACUUGAGUGCAGAAGAGGAAAGUGGAAUUCCAUGUGUAGCGGUGAAAUGCGCAGAGAUAUGGAGGAACACCAGUGGCGAAGGCGACUUUCUGGUCUGUNAACUGACGCUGAUGUGCGAAAGCGUGGGGAUC